rnacentral:rRNA from 1 species
UGGGGAAUAUUGGUCAAUGGGCGAGAGCCUGAACCAGCCAAGUCGCGUGAAGGAAGACUGCCUUAUGGGUUGUAAACUUCUUUUAUACAGGAAUAAAAAGGCUUACGUGUAGGCCAUUGCAAGUACUGUAUGAAUAAGCAUCGGCUAACUCCGUGCCAGCAGCCGCGGUAAUACGGAGGAUGCGAGCGUUAUCCGGAUUUAUUGGGUUUAAAGGGUGCGCAGGCGGGCUUUUAAGUCAGCGGUGAAAUCUGGACGCUUAACGUCCAAACUGCCGUUGAAACUGGGAGUCUUGAGUAUGGAUGAAGUAGGCGGAAUUCGUUGUGUAGCGGUGACAUGCAUAGAUAUAACGAGGAACUCCGAUUGCGUAGGCAGCUUACUAAGCCAUAACUGACGCUCAUGCACGAAAGCGUGGGGAUCAAACAGGAUUAGAUACCCUGGUAGUCCACGCCGUAAAACGAUGAUUACUAGUUGUAUGCGAUAUGAUAGUAUGUGACUAAGCGAAAGCGAUAAGUAAUCCACCUGGGGAGUACGCCGGCAACGGUGAAACUCAAAGGAAUUGACGGGGUCAUAGCUGUUUCCUG